rnacentral:rRNA from 1 species
AUUGAACGCUGGCGGCAUGCUUUACACAUGCAAGUCGAACGGUAACAGGUUAAGCUGACGAGUGGCGAACGGGUGAGUAACGCAUCGGAACGUGCCCGGUCGUGGGGGAUAACGCAGCGAAAGCUGCGCUAAUCCCGCAUACGCUGUGCGGAUGAAAGGGGGGGCCCGUAAGGCCUCGCGCGCUCGGAGCGGCCGAUGUCAGAUUAGGGAGUUGGUGGGGGAAAGGCUCACCAAGCCGAAGAUCUGUAGCUGGUCUGAGAGGACGACCAGCCACACUGGGACUGAGGCACGGCCCAGACUCCUACGGGAGGCAGCAGGGGGGAAUUUUGGACAAUGGGCGCAAGCCUGAUCCAGCAAUGCCGCGUGCAGGAAGAAGGCCUUCGGGUUGUAAACUGCUUUUGUACGGAACGAAAAGGCUCUCUCUAAUACAGGGAGCUCAUGACGGUACCGUAAGAAUAAGCACCGGCUAACUACGUGCCAGCAGCCGCGGUAACAC